UGAAGAGUCAGAUGCUUAACCGACUGAGCCACCCAGGCACCCCUUACUCAUUUUUUAAAACAGAGCUAAUCUACAGAUUGAAAUCACUGGUUUCUAGUUCAGUGAAAGAAAAUGUAAUGGCAUUGCCACAAAUGAAAAGAUCAUACAGAAUCUUAAACUCAAAGAUCAUACUCAGUAAAGAAAUGAAAUCAGAAUGCUCUUCUGGAAAGAGGAAAUCAAAAUGGGAACAUGUCCAUCUCUUUGCAAUGCAGGCCAGAAAUAUGGGAAGGCCUGGACCUCGUGGGAUCUGCUUACAGAGUAAGGCACAAUAAAUCAAGCCUUCCUGUGCAUUUUCUGUGCUUUUGUCAAAGCUAUUUCCUGGCUAUCAGUAUUUUCAUGUUUCAUACCUGCUUGAGUGCCAUUUGCAGUU